rnacentral:lncRNA from 1 species
AGACAUGACUUCAGCCACAGAAUAGUAGGCCUUUGUUCCUUUGUUAAUGAAGUGUAAUAGAAGUCGAGUAACAUUCUCUAUAGCAAGGAGGGGAACAUAUGUAAAGCCAUAAUUCCCUUUAGGGCCCAACCUUGGAAAUUCAAUUACCGGGCAGAACUGCUAAAAAGCUCAAAUCUCCCAUCAGUAUGAAUUUCUAAAGACUGUGUAUGACUGCGAUAUUUGAUUUCAGAUUGGAGUAUCCUCCUUGGAGAAUGUUCACUACAGACAAUCAGCAAAAAGCUCAAGGAUGUGUGCCGGAUGUGUGGAAUCUCUGCCGCAGACUCUCCUUCUAUCCUUAGUGCCUGCCUGGUUGCCAUGGAGCCCCAGGGGUCCUUUGUAGUGAUGCCAGAUGCUGUCACAAUGGGCUCUGUUUUUGGCCGAAGUACUGCACUGAACAUGCAGUCAUCUCAGCUCAACACCCCUCAAGAUGCUUCUUGUACACACAU